CCCUGGUUCCCAACUUUCAAAAUACACAUUUAAAUCUUUAAACUUACUACUUACUAAUUUACUAAUUGUAUCGCGUGAGAUCCAAAUCACAGUUGUUGAGGCAUUUUACUAUGCAGCAGGGGAUUGGACAGAACGGAGACACGAGCUCCCCUGCCUCCGAACCCAGCUCCUCUGAACCUCCUUGCUUCCUGCCUACCGGCUACCUCCUCUGGUUGUGUUGAAACUAUCGAGCACACGAGCUCAACAGUUGGUUCUCAUGGACAAAUCGAGAGCCACGGACGAGGAGCUCGCCAUCGAUGUGAACACUGACAAGUCCGCCUCCUUCCCCUUCCUCCAAAAUCCGGAAGCCAUGGCUGUCGCAGUGCUGACCUUCUCGUCCCGCCCGCCGCCGCUCCGGCUCGUCGUCGAGCGCCCGUGCGCUGCCCCGCGGACCCGCCUCGCCUCCCGCCGCGACCCGCGACCCCGGUGGAGCGGCGCGGCCCGCGCCAGGGGAAUGCGGCGCUCGGCCGCAUCGAGCAGCACCGCGUUCCCCUGGCCUCGUCUACUUCGCCGGCGAGGACAGGGUGUACUCCAUUGACCUCUUCUACCAGCUCCGCAGCGUAAGAUUGAAUGAAAUUUCCUCCUCGACUUUGUCGCCGUCCUCUUCCUGCUCGUGCACCACCACGCUGCUCCAGGAUGUGGGGUCAUGUACCCAUGACCUCGCCUCCCACCACGACGUGCCCGACACGCCUGAUGGAGCUAUGCGGCCUACCCCAGAGGAACGCCGCGCUUGACCGCAUCCCCGGCCCCGCCCCCAUCUACUUCGCCAAAAAGGACAACGUGUACUCCCUUGACCUCUUCUACCAGCUCCUCAUGAAUUUUCUUUCCUUUUCCCCCAAGGAUGCUAUAAUUCUCACAAUUUUGCAUAUAUUCGUUUGAAAUUACAGUCAAUUUAGUUUGCAUACUAUAGUUCCUUGUAGAAAAAUUUCAGGUAACCUGCUUAACUUACAUCCCUGUCGAAAAAUUUCAUAGUUGGAAUGGAAUAAUCGGCCAGUUUUGUUGAUUAGUCCAGCCUGUCUGCAUUCUCUACUUAUUAGCGCUGCUAGUGACAUUAAACCAGCACCGCGUGCCCAUUCGUCUCCUGCGUGUGGCCCGUCGUCUACAAGUCCUUCACAGCUCGCCAGCGUAUUUGACAAGCAAAUAGCAAUAGAUAACCACUGUAUUAAAUAUGGGCAAGAUCGGAAAUAGGCACACUAAUAAAUCACUCCAUGAUACGUACGCGAGAUAAUGUCUAAAACAUCCAGAAUUUCAGAAAAAAGAGGGAGCACUGUGGAUCCAUUUUUUUUCCAAUGCAUGGUUGUAUGCGUGUUUACUUGCACAGAAAGUGAGCUUGGUGUAAAAAAAAUCUUCAAUCAUUUGGUCAUUAUUUAUAUUUGUUUCGGUUCUAAUCAAAGGUUGAGACUUUUUACCAUGUAAGCAAAAUGAUUGGAGGAGCCCUAAUAGCAUCCCCAAAUAGAGCUGACAUAGCUAGAUGAGGAAGAAUAUUUUUCUGACGUCAUGACGUCAUGAUGAUUGAUUUCAAUGAUUCUAGCUCCUAAUGCUAAGCUGCUAACUCCCUAUGACGUGUCACUUCCUUGUAGGAUCGUUACUACCAGACCUGCAAAUGAUGGACUAUUGUGACCAUGGUAGAAUGUAUAACAUGCACUUUCUGAAGAUAAUCUCCAGUGAACUCAAGCGGAAGUCCAAGAUUUUAAGCAGGAAACAAGUCCCGGAUUGCAAGCUGAAGAAUUUAGCGUAUAGAGCUCCAUGCUCCAGUCCUUUAUUUAUCCUUGUUGAAGCUGAAGUCCUUGAAUUCUGAGCAGAAGACAAGCCCCAAACUGCAAGCUGAAGAAUUUGUAGCAUUUGGAGCUCCGUGCUCCAGCUUUCUAUCCUUUUUUUUUUCUUUUGAACUAUGAUGUGUUUGAGUUCGUUUCUGCUCCAGCACCAGGGAAGCGGAGCUACCACUUUCAUUUCAUGAUGUGUUUCUUUACAUAACCGCAGAUGAUACUUGCCAUAGAAUCGAACAGUCCAGCAUACUCAUGUGUUUCGUUGUUUAAGCUGCUGCUUGAAAUGCACGGGAAUUGCUGAACUUUAUCCCAUGUUAUGUGGGCACCCGACACUGAAUGGUGUGCAGCGCGAUCCUUGUGCAGAGGUCUCCUUGUUAAGGCCUGUUUGUUCAAAACUACAUCUUGCAGCAACAUUUCUCCUGUUAGUAUUGUCAAACCAAGCAGAGGGUAAGUGUUCAUAGAAAAUUACUUUAGCACUGCACCUCAUAAGCCAUCCUCUGCUCUGUACGGCCACGAGACAUGAGAAGCAGGCAAGCAGCAAAGCACGGGAUGGAAGGGGCAGAACAGAGACACGAACUCCUCUGCCUCUGAACCCAGCUCCUCUGCAUCUCCUUGCUGGCCGCUGUUGGGGAUCGCCACCCAAGAGGAGGCCUCGCGGAAGGUUACGUCGAAGCUUUCGGACAUUACAAAAGUAUUUCACGUACAGAAAGUGAGCUUGGUGUAAAAAAUCUUGAAUCAUUUGGUCAUUAUUUAUAUUUUUUUCGGUUCUAAUCAAAGGUUGAGAUUUUUUAUGUGCGUCAAGAAGAAAAUGGUGUCACGUCCCGCUUCAUAAUGAUUUAUUAUUGGAAUUUUGAAUGAUAAUUGGGAUUUGUUAUAGGAAAAGCGGUGGGCAGUGGACUACUGGGCUGUGUCAGCUUGACAGGAGAACAGAGUGUUAGGACAGUUGCAGGGUACUCCAGCUGGAAGCCUGGAAGGCGUAGCCAUGGCUGAGGUACUGGCCACCAUGGUGGUCGGGCCACUGGUGUCCAUGGUGAAGGAGAAGGCCUCCAGCUACCUCCUGGACCAGUACAAGGUGAUGGAGGGCAUGGACAAGCAGCACGAGGUCCUCAAGCGCAAGUUGUUGCACAUCAUGGACGUCAUGAUCGACGCCGAGGAACAGGCAGCAGCCAAGAGAGAAGGAGCGAAAGCUUGGCUGGAGAAGGUCCGGAAGGUGACCUACCAAGCGAAUGAUGUCCUCGAUGAGUUCAAGUACGAGGCGCUGCGCCGCAAAGCCAAGGAGGAGGGCCGCUACAAGGACCUCAGCAUGGAUGUAAUAAAGCUCUUCCCUACUCACAACCGUAUUAUUUUCCGUUACAGGAUGGCAAACAAGCUCCGUAUGAUCUUGCAAGAAAUUGAUGACCUCAUCAAAGAGAUGAAUGGCUUUAGGUUCAUGUUCAAACCAGGGUCACCAGAGCCCAUAAAUUACUUGAGGCAGAAUAAUUCUGUUAUCGUCGACCCUGUGAACAUUGCCAAAGAAUCAAGAGCCCGAGAGAUGAAGGAUGUUGUUGAUAGAUUACUUGCUCAAGCUAGCAGCUCGGAUCCCACUGUCAUUCCCGUCGUCGGAAUGGGAGGGUUGGGCAAGACCACCUUAGCGCAGCUCAUUUACAAUGACCCUGAAAUCAAGAAGCAUUUCCAGUUGCGGCUUUGGGUGUGCGUCUCUGAUAACUUUGAGGUGGAUUCCGUGGCUGAUAGAAUACUGAAAGAGAAUGGUUGUAAACCAACUGGUUGCUCAGCAUUGGAGAAGCUUCAAAAUGCAGUGAGUGGGAAGAGGUACCUACUCGUAUUGGAUGAUGUAUGGAACCGUGAUGAGCACAAGUGGGAAAGGCUUAAGUCCUACCUUCAGCAUGGUGGCAGCGGUAGCUCAGUGCUGACAACAACUCGUGAUGAAGCUGUUGCUAAACUAAUGAUGGGUAAAACUGAAGGAGCCUAUAAACUUGAAAGCUUGGGUGCAUACUUCAUAGAGAAAAUUAUCAAGACAAGAGCAUUCAGUUCAAAAGAAGAGGAGUGGCCUGGUGAACUAGUUAAAAUGGUCGGACAAGUUGCCAAGAGAUGUGCUGGCUCUCCUUUGGCUGCUACAGCAUUGGGCUCUUUACUGCGUACCAAGACCACCGAGGAAGAAUGGAAGUCUGUAUUAAGAAGAAGCUCGAUUUGGGAUGAGGAAAAUAAAAUUUUACCAGUACUCAAGCUCAGUUACAAUGGCUUGCCAUCACAUAUGAGGCAGUGCUUUGCUUUCUGUGCUAUGUUUCCAAAGGAUUAUGAGAUUGAUGUGGAAAUGCUGAUCCAAUUGUGGAUGGCUAAUGGUUUUAUCCUAGAGAAACAAGGAGAACGUCCUGAAAUUACUGGUAAAAAUAUUUUCGUUGAGUUGGCAGCAAGAUCUUUUUUUCAAGAUGUGAAGGGAAUCCCAUUUCAGUUCAAUCAUACCGAGGUCUCCAGAAUUACUUGUAAGAUCCAUGACCUUAUGCAUGAUGUUACAAUGGAUUCUAUGGGAAACGAGUGCGCUACUAUAGCUACAAAACUGAGUAAAAGUGAGGACUUUCCAUAUUCCGCUUGUCAUUUAUUUCUGUCAGUUAAUAGAGCAGAAACUAUUCUGAAUGCUUCCCUAGCAAAGGGGUCUCCAACUUUCCAAACACUGAUUUUUGGGGGAAAGAAACCUGGAAGAGGUUUUCAAAAGUUAUCGAAUUGCAGUUCUGUGAGAGCAUUAAAGGUCCAGCAAAGUUCAUUCCUUAGGCUGAAAUAUCUUCAUCACCUGAGGUAUCUUGAUCUCUCAAAAAGUGAUAUUGAAGCACUUCCUGAAGACAUUAGCAUCCUAUAUCAUCUGCAAACACUGGACCUUUCUAAUUGUGCUGAUCUUCAGCGACUUCCAAAGGAACUGAAGUAUUUGACUUCCCUCCGUCACCUCUACACUCACGGAUGUAGAAAGUUGAAAAGCAUGCCCGGAGGGCUCGGACACCUCACUUCCCUACAGACACUUGCAUGCUUUAUAGCAGAUACCGACUCCGGUUGCAGUAAUGUGAGAGAGCUGCAGGAUUUGGACCUCGGUGGUAGACUAGAGCUAAGACAGCUCGAAAAUGUCACAGGAGCAAAUGGUGCGCAAGCAGCAGGUCUUGGAAACAAGAAAAAAUUAACUAAACUGGAGUUAAUAUGGACUGAUGGUGAUCAGGAAGCACAAAAUAAUAAUCACAAAGAGGUGGUGCAAGGUCUCAAACCUCAUGAUGGGCUGAAGGUCCUAGGGAUAUAUUCCUGUGGGAGCAGUACUUUUCCAACGUGGAUGGAUAUUUUGAAUGGCAUGGUGGAGCUUAAGUUAUCUGGUUGCAAAAAGCUCGAGAAGCUUCCUGCACUCUGGCAGUUACCAGCUCUGGAAAUUCUUCACCUAAAAGGAUUGGAAAGUUUACAUUGUUUGUGCAGCGGCGCUACAACAGCCGUCAUAUUUCAGAAACUGAAGGUGCUUACCUUGGUUGAGAUGCCAAACGUUGAGGCAUGGCUGGACACAGAUGUGGUACAAGGAGAAGAGACGAUAUUUCCCAAGGUUGAGAAGCUGGAGAUUCAUGAGUGUGGAAGUUUGACUGCACUACCAAAAGCAGCAUCAGUGAUUACGGAAUCGUCUGGUGGAGUUGACACUAAGCGCCGCUCCGCAUUUCCAGCAUUGAGGAACAGGACGUUAUUUUCUUUGAAUAUGUUUGAUAGAUGGGAGGUAGUCGAAGGAACUCUAGUAGAAGGGGUAACAUUUCCUCGGCUCGAGGAACUGUACAUCUUGUCUUGUGCAAGCCUGGCUACACUACCGAUAGGGUCAUUAUUGGUUGAACAAUCAUUUGGAGGAGCUGAAACCGUGUGUUGUCGCUCUGCAUUUCCAGCACUACGGAAACUAGAGUUAUCUGGUUUGUCGGCCCUUGAGAGAUGGGGAGCCGUCGAAGGAACUCCAGGAGAAAAGGUAACAUUUCCUCUGCUGGAGGAGUUGAAAAUUAAUGUCUGCCCGAAGUUGACUGAUCUACCUGAAGCACCGAAGCUAAGUGAAUUAGCCAUCAGUGCGCGUGGACAUGGUCAACAAAUAUCCCUGCAGGCAGCUAGCAGAUGCAUUCCUUCACUGUCCAGGCUGCGUCUGGAUGUGUCUCCCGAUGACACGGAAACAAUAUUGCUGCAUGUCAGCAGAAAUGCAAUCAAGAACUCCCCCUGGCAGCUAUGAUGUUAACUAGGUGCGACCUUUUGUUUUCCUCCCACUCAAAUGCACUAGCGUUGUGGACAUGUUUUGCACGGCUAGUAGAUCUUAGAAUUUGGGAUUGCGAUGCUCUUGUCUACUGGCCAGAAAACGUGUUCCAGGUCCUGGUAUCCCUAAGGAGGUUAUCGAUUUGGAGUUGCAGCAAACUGACAGUAUACACACAAGCUUCUGACGGGCAAUCUGCUCCAGAACGGGGUGGACUCCUGCCACGUCUGGAAUCUCUAUGGAUAAAUGGUUGCACAUCUUUGGUAUUGGUCCCCAACCUGCCGGCAUCUCUCAAGACAUUACAUAUUGCUAGCUGUAGUGAUAAUAUCAAGUCCAUCAUAUUCGGUCAGCAUGAGUAUGUGACGCUGGUGGGUGGAGAAGGUGUCGUACAGCCGGACACGUCAUCAUUAAUUCCAGGGUCUUGCGGUAGUGAGGCCACGGCGUCUACAGCUGUACUGAAGCUGUCAUCAGCAGCCAACCAUCGCUCCCUUCCAUGCCUAGAAUCUCUAAGUAUAUGGAGAUGCGAUUGUUUGUCAGAGGUUGCCAAUCUUCCUUCGUCUAUCAAGAUCUUGGACAUUUAUAGCUGCGGCAAUCUACAAUCCCUAUCAGGAAAGCUAGAUGUCGUCCAAAAAUUAAAUAUUAUUUCAUGUAGUCGGUUGGAAUCACUGGAAUCUUGGAUAGGAGAGCUGUGGUCGCUGGAAGUACUCAUGCUUUAUGGUUGCAAAAGCCUGGUAUCCUUACUGGAUGGGCCUCAAGCAUACUCAUCUCUUAGAGUUCUUCAGAUUCAAGAUUGUGAUGGUAUAAAGUCAUUUCCGCCGGGCCUUCAGAGCUGUUUGGAUUGCCUCGAGGUGAAACAUAUAGAUGCCUGUUACGAAGAACCAAAGACUCUGAUACGUGCAAUCAGGAGGCUGGUCGACAAGGCUGCGACGAGAUUGUUCCCGUGUUCCUAUGACGAGGAGAGUGACAGUGAUUGAAAUAGCAGAUCAAGGGCUUGAUGAAAGUUAUCACCAAGGAUCGUUGUUACCAGACCUGCAAAUGAUGGAUUAUUGUAACCGUGGUAGAAUAUAUUACCUACACUUUCUGAAGAUAAUCUCCAGUGAAGUCAAGUCCAAGUCCUUGAUUUUGAGCAGAAACAAGUCAUAGGCUGCAAGCUGAAGAAUUUGUAGCAUUUAGAGCUCCAUGCUCCAGUUUGUUAUCCUUCAUUUUCUUUUCUUUUGAACUAUGAUGAGUUUGAGUUCAGUGUCUGCUCCAGCACAAGCGAAACACAGCUAGCACUUUCUUUUCAUACACCGCUGAAGAUACUCAUGUUGUUGUACGUCAAGCCGUUGUUUAAGCUGCUGCUUGAAAUGCACUUAAAUUGCUAAAUAUCCCA